rnacentral:rRNA from 1 species
CCGGUGCGCUAACCGCAAGGAAGCAGCCGACCACGGUAGGGUCAGCGACUGGGGUG